UAAUACGGAGGAUCCAAGCGUUAUCCGGAUUUAUUGGGUUUAAAGGGUGCGUAGGCGGACCCGUAAGUCAGUGGUGAAAGUUUGCAGCUCAACUGUAAAAUUGCCAUUGAAACUAUGGGUCUUGAGUGUAAAUGAGGUAGGCGGAAUGUGUUGUGUAGCGGUGAAAUGCUUAGAUAUAACACAGAACACCAAUUGCGAAGGCAGCUUACUAGGAUACAACUGACGCUGAGGCACGAAAGCGUGGGGAUCAAACAGGAUUAGAUACCCUGGUAGUCCACGCAGUAAACGAUGAAUACUAACUGUAUGCGAUAUACUGUAUGUGGUAAAGCGAAAGCGUUAAGUAUUCCACCUGGGGAGUACGUUCGCAAGAAUGAAACUCAAAGGAAUUGACGG
rnacentral:rRNA from 1 species